rnacentral:lncRNA from 1 species
UCGACGAUUUGGUUGGCUACCUCGACUUGGCAGGCUAUACUCUUUCUGAUUCGGCUGCCACCAAUUGGGUCGUCUUGAGUGUGGGUCCGGCAUCCCUAGUGACAGAUCUUAGGAUUUGGGUACAAGGCAUUAGACCCAUCGACUUCAAACUUCUUCGUCUCCAUUAUCUUCCCCGAGAAUGAAUACUGGAGCUUCAGCCGAUCCGGCGGUAAACACCGUUACUUCACCGUUGGCGGCCUUGGCGCUUGCACCGGCGCCUACGGUCGCUUCGCCCGAUCAGCCUUCUGGGUCUCAACCUCGGGCUGUCCCUAUUCCUACUGCCGUGGAUCCGGCACCGCUUCCUUCGCCGGUCAACGGUGACACUACAAUGUCCGAUUCACAGCCGGGCACUAUUACUCGGUGCCUGCACCCCUUCGAUCCUCCGCAGCCCGACAGAUGUCGCCUUGUUUCAGUGGACGCUGCGGCAAAGGUGCAAUUGAGUUUGCCCGACUACAUUUCUUUCCUGGUCGACGAUUUGGUUGGCUACCUCGACUUGGCAGGCUAUACUCUUUCUGAUUCGGCUGCCACCAAUUGGGUCGUCUUGAGCAUGGGUCCAGCGUCCCUAGUGACAGAUCUUAGGAUUUGGGUACAAGGCAUUAGAUCCAUCGACUUCAAACUUCUUCGUCUCCAUUAUCUUCCCCGAGAAUGAAUACUGGAGCUUCAGCCGAUCAGGCAGUAAACACCGUUACUUCACCGUUGGCGGCCUUGGCACUUGCACCGGCGCCUACGGUCGCUUCACCCAAUCAGCCUUCUGGGUCUCAACCUCGGGCUGUCCCUAUUCCUACUGCCGUGGAUCCGGCACCGCUUCCUUCACCGGUCAACGGUGACACUACAAUGUCCGAUUCACAGCCGGGCACUGUUACUUGGCACCUGCACCCCUUCGAUCCUCCGCAGCCCGACAGACGUCGCCUUGUUUCAGUGGACGCUGCAGCAAAGGUGCAAUUGAGUUUGCCCGACUACAUUUCUUUCCUGGUCGACGAUUUGGUUGGCUACCUCGACUUGGCAGGCUAUACUCUUUCUGAUUCGGCUGCCACCAAUUGGGUCGUCUUGAGUGUGGGUCCGGUGUCCCUAGUGACAGAUCUUAGGAUUUGGGUACAAGGCAUUAGACCCAUCGACUUCAAACUUCUUCGUCUCCAUUAUCUUCCCCGAGAAUGAAUACUGGAGCUUCAGCCGAUCAGGCGGUAAACACCGUUACUUCGCUGUUGGCAGCCUUGGCACUUGCACCGGCGCCUACGGUCGCUUCACCCAAUCAGCCUUCUGGGUCUCAACCUCGGGCUGUCCCUAUUCCUACUGCCAUGGAUCCGGCACCGCUUCCUUCACCGGUCAACGGUGACACUACAAUGUCCGAUUCACAGCCGGGCACUGUUACUCGGCACCUGCACCCCUUCGAUCCUCCGCAGCCCGACAGACGUCGCCUUGUUUCAGUGGACGCUGCGGCAAAGGUGCAAUUGAGUUUGCCCGACUACAUUUCUUUCCUGGUCGACGAUUUGGUUGGCUACCUCGACUUGGCAGGCUAUACUCUUUCUGAUUCGGCUGCCACCAAUUGGGUCGUCUUGAGUGUGGGUCCGGCGUCCCUAGUGACAGAUCUUAGGAUUUGGGUACAAGGCAUUAGACCCAUCGACUUCAAACUUCUUCGUCUCCAUUAUCUUCCCCGAGAAUGAAUACUGGAGCUUCAGCCGAUCAGGCGGUAAACACCGUUACUUCGCUGUUGGCAGCCUUGGCGCUUGCACCGGCGCCUACGGUCGCUUCGCCCGAUCAGCCUUCUGGGUCUCAACCUCGGGCUGUCCCUAUUCCUACUGCCGUGGAUCCGGCGCCGCUUCCUUCGCCGGUCAACGGUGACACUACAAUGUCCGAUUCACAGCCGGGCACUGUUACUCGGUGCCUGCACCCCUUCGAUCCUCCGCAGCCCGACAGACGUCGCCUUGUUUCAGUGGACGCUGCGGCAAAGGUGCAAUUGAGUUUGCCCGACUACAUUUCUUUCCUGGUCGACGAUUUGGUUGGCUACCUCGACUUGGCAGGCUAUACUCUUUCUGAUUCGGCUGCCACCAAUUGGGUCGUCUUGAGUGUGGGUCCGGCGUCCCUAGUGACAGAUCUUAGGAUUUGGGUACAAGGCAUUAGACCCAUCGACUUCAAACUUCUUCGUCUCCAUUAUCUUCCCCGAGAAUGAAUACUGGAGCUUCAGCCGAUCAGGCGGUAAACACCGUUACUUCGCUGUUGGCAGCCUUGGCGCUUGCACCAGCGCCUACGGUCGCUUCACCCAAUCAGCCUUCUGGGUCUCAACCUCGGGCUGUCCCUAUUCCUACUGCCGUGGAUCCGGCGCCGCUUCCUUCGCCGGUCAACGGUGACACUACAAUGUCCGAUUCACAGCCGGGAAUUGUUACUCGGUGCCUGCACCCCUUCGAUCCUCCGCAGCCCGACAGACGUCGCCUUGUUUCAGUGGACACUGCGGCAAAGGUGCAAUUGAGUUUGCCCGACUACAUUUCUUUCCUGGUCGACGAUUUGGUUGGCUACCUCGACUUGGCAGGCUAUACUCUUUCUGAUUCGGCUGCCACCAAUUGGGUCGUCUUGAGCAUGGGUCCAGCGUCCCUAGUGACAGAUCUUAGGAUUUGGGUACAAGGCAUUAGAUCCAUCGACUUCAAACUUCUUCGUCUCCAUUAUCUUCCCCGAGAAUGAAUACUGGAGCUUCAGCCGAUCAGGCAGUAAACACCGUUACUUCACCGUUGGCGGCCUUGGCACUUGCACCGGCGCCUACGGUCGCUUCACCCAAUCAGCCUUCUGGGUCUCAACCUCGGGCUGUCCCUAUUCCUACUGCCGUGGAUCCGGCACCGCUUCCUUCACCGGUCAACGGUGACACUACAAUGUCCGAUUCACAGCCGGGCACUGUUACUUGGCACCUGCACCCCUUCGAUCCUCCGCAGCCCGACAGACGUCGCCUUGUUUCAGUGGACGCUGCAGCAAAGGUGCAAUUGAGUUUGCCCGACUACAUUUCUUUCCUGGUCGACGAUUUGGUUGGCUACCUCGACUUGGCAGGCUAUACUCUUUCUGAUUCGGCUGCCACCAAUUGGGUCGUCUUGAGUGUGGGUCCGGCGUCCCUAGUGACAGAUCUUAGGAUUUGGGUACAAGGCAUUAGACCCAUCGACUUCAAACUUCUUCGUCUCCAUUAUCUUCCCCGAGAAUGAAUACUGGAGCUUCAGCCGAUCAGGCGGUAAACACCGUUACUUCGCUGUUGGCAGCCUUGGCGCUUGCACCGGCGCCUACGGUCGCUUCGCCCGAUCAGCCUUCUGGGUCUCAACCUCGGGCUGUCCCUAUUCCUACUGCCGUGGAUCCGGUGCCGCUUCCUUCGCCGGUCAACGGUGACGCUACAAUGUCCGAUUCACAGCCGGGCACUGUUACUGGGCGCCUGUGCCCCCUCGAUCCUCUGCAGCCCGACAGACGUCGCCUUGUUUCAGUGGACGCUGCGGCAAAGGUGCAAUUGAGUUUGCCCGACCACAUUUCUUUCCUGGUCGACGAUUUGGUUGGCUACCUCGACUUGGCAGGCUAUACUCUUUCUGAUUCAGCUGCCACCAAUUGGGUCAUCUUGAGCGUGGGUCCGGCGUCCCUAGUGACAGAUCUUAGGAUUUGGGUACAAGGCAUAAGACCCAUCGACUUCAAACUUCUUCGUCUCCAUUAUCUUCCCCGAGAAUGAAUACUGGAGCUUCAGCCGAUCCGGCGGUAAACACCGUUACUUCACCGUUGGCGGCCUUGGCGCUUGCACCGGCGCCUACGGUCGCUUCACCCAAUCAGCCUUCUGGGUCUCAACCUCGGGCUGUCCCUAUUCCUACUGCCGUGGAUCCGGCACCGCUUCCUUCACCGGUCAACGGUGACACUACAAUGUCCGAUUCACAGCCGGGCACUGUUACUCGGCACCUGCACCCCUUCGAUCCUCCGCAGCCCGACAGACGUCGCCUUGUUUCAGUGGACGCUGCAGCAAAGGUGCAAUUGAGUUUGCCCGACUACAUUUCUUUCCUGGUCGACGAUUUGGUUGGCUACCUCGACUUGGCAGGCUAUACUCUUUCUGAUUCGGCUGCCACCAAUUGGGUCGUCUUGAGUGUGGGUCCGGUGUCCCUAGUGACAGAUCUUAGGAUUUGGGUACAAGGCAUUAGAUCCUUCGACUUCAAACUUCUUCGUCUCCAUUAUCCUCCCCGAGAAUGAAUACUGGAGCUUCAGCCGAUCAGGCGGUAAACACCGUUACUUCGCCGUUGGCACCUUGGUGCUUGCACCAGCGCCUACGGUCGCUUCGCCCGAUCAGCCUUCUGGGUCUCAACCUCGGGCUGUCCCUAUUCCUACUGCCGUGGAUCCGGCACCGCUUCCUUCGCCGGUCAACGGUGACACUACAAUGUCCGAUUCACAGCCGGGCACUGUUACUCGGUGCCUGCACCCCUUCGAUCCUCCGCAGCCCGACAGACGUCGCCUUGUUUCAGUGGACGCUGCGGCAAAGGUGCAAUUGAGUUUGCCCGACUACAUUUCUUUCCUGGUCGACGAUUUGGUUGGCUACCUCGACUUGGCAGGCUAUACUCUUUCUGAUUCGGCUGCCACCAAUUGGGUCGUCUUGAGUGUGGGUCCGGUGUCCCUAGUGACAGAUCUUAGGAUUUGGGUACAAGGCAUUAGAUCCAUCGACUUCAAACUUCUUCGUCUCCAUUAUCUUCCCCGAGAAUGAAUACUGGAGCUUCAGCCGAUCCGGCAGUAAACACCGUUUCUUCACCGUUGGCGGCCUUGGCGCUUGCACCGGCGCCUACGGUCGCUUCACCCAAUCAGCCUUCUGGGUCUCAACCUCGGGCUGUCCCUAUUCCUACUGCCGUAGAUCCGGCACCGCUUCCUUCGCCGGUCAACGGUGACACUACAAUGUCCGAUUCACAGCCGGGCACUGUUACUCGGUGCCUGCACCCCUUCGAUCCUCCGCAGCCCGACAGACGUCGCCUUGUUUCAGUGGAUGCUGCGGCAAAGGUGCAAUUGAGUUUGCCCGACUACAUUUCUUUCCUGGUCGACGAUUUGGUUGGCUACCUCGACUUGGCAGGCUAUACUCUUUCUGAUUCGGCUGCCACCAAUUGGGUCGUCUUGAGUGUGGGUCCGGCAUCCCUAGUGACAGAUCUUAGGAUUUGGGUACAAGGCAUUAGAUCCAUCGACUUCAAACUUCUUCGUCUCCAUUAUCUUCCCCGAGAAUGAAUACUGGAGCUUCAGCCGAUCAGGCGGUAAACACCGUUACUUCGCAGUUGGCGGCCUUGGCACUUGCACCGGCACCUACGGUCGCUUCGCCCGAUCAGCCUUCUGGGUCUCAACCUCAGGCUGUCCCUAUUCCUACUGCCGUGGAUCCGGCACCGCUUCUUUUUAUUCCGCUUUUUUUUCCUUUGCCGGUCAACGGUGACACUACAAUGUCCGAUUCACAGCCGGGCACUGUUACUCGGCGCCUGCACCCCCUCGAUCCUCCGCAGCCCGACAGACGUCGCCUUGUUUCAGUGGACGCUGCGGCAAAGGUGCAAUUGAGUUUGCCCGACUACAUUUCUUUCCUGGUCGACGAUUUGGUUGGCUACCUCGACUUGGCAGGCUAUACUCUUUCUGAUUCGGCUGCCACCAAUUGGGUCGUCUUGAGUGUGGGUCCGGCGUCCCUAGUGACAGAUCUUAGGAUUUGGGUACAAGGCAUUAGAUCCAUCGACUUCAAACUUCUUCGUCUCCAUUAUCCUCCCCGAGAAUGAAUACUGGAGCUUCAGCCGAUCAGGCGGUAAACACCGUUACUUCGCCGUUGGCACCUUGGUGCUUGCACCAGCGCCUACGGUCGCUUCGCCCGAUCAGCCUUCUGGGUCUCAACCUCGGGCUGUCCCUAUUCCUACUGCCGUGGAUCCGGCACCGCUUCCUUCGCCGGUCAACGGUGACACUACAAUGUCCGAUUCACAGCCGGGCACUGUUACUCGGUGCCUGCACCCCUUCGAUCCUCCGCAGCCCGACAGACGUCGCCUUGUUUCAGUGGACGCUGCGGCAAAGGUGCAAUUGAGUUUGCCCGACUACAUUUCUUUCCUGGUCGACGAUUUGGUUGGCUACCUCGACUUGGCAGGCUAUACUCUUUCUGAUUCGGCUGCCACCAAUUGGGUCGUCUUGAGUGUGGGUCCGGCAUCCCUAGUGACAGAUCUUAGGAUUUGGGUACAAGGCAUUAGAUCCAUCGACUUCAAACUUCUUCGUCUCCAUUAUCUUCCCCGAGAAUGAAUACUGGAGCUUCAGCCGAUCAGGCAGUAAACACCGUUACUUCACCAUUGGCGGC